rnacentral:tRNA from 1 species
GCUCGAAUGGUGGAAUAGGUAGACACGCCGGACUUAAAAUCCUGUGGACAGCAAUGUCCGUGCCGGUUCGAUUCCGGCUUCGAGUA